rnacentral:tRNA from 1 species
GUUCCUGUAGUUUAAUGGAUAGAACACUGGCCUCCGAAGCCGGUGAUGCGGGUUCAACUCCCGCCGGGGACA